AAUUACCUUGCAGACUAUGCAAGCAAGAAAACAAAAACAAACAAAUAAUAAAUAAAUAAAUAAUAUAUGUAAUGUAAAUUAACAUUACCUUACAGACUAUAUAAAUAAAUACAUAUAUCACUAAAUAAUAAUAAUAAUAAUAAUAAACUGCACAAUAAAUGCAUUUAUUUUUAUAAUUUAAGAUUACCUUACAGACUAUAUAAUAAAUAAAACAAACAAACAAACAAACAAACAAAAAUGCUUAGUACACAAGUAGCACAAUUCACUAAAUAAACAAAUAUAUCACCAAACAAACAAAUAUUGAAAAAACAACAACAACAACCAACUAACCAAAGAGAAACACAAGCCACAUGGCUAUGAUUGUGUGUUGUUUAUAAGUUUUGUAACUUGCUAAAUGUUUUCACUGAAGUAGUAUCCAAGAUGGGCCCUAGAAACCCCACUGCAACACCCCGGCAACAUCACAACAGCCUAUCCUACCCUCAACAUCUCUGACGUAAAAACCAGCAAUGGUUGUUCAAACACAAAGAGAUGCAUUAAAGAAAUCUGAUGCACCUCUUUUCUGCUUUUUACCAACAGAACAGAUCUUUCUGUGCCAUAUAUAAUAAAUAAAGACACAAAAACCAUGAGCAUGUCCUGCCCAGCAACCCUUUCCCAGAAGAACACCUCAGAUCAACUAAAUCAAACGUCCGGAGAGAAUCACAAAGGAGCAGCGGGAUCCGUUGAGACAGAGACACAGAAGCUACUCUAUUUACAAAGACUGUUUGAAAACACAAACAAUAGCAGGACGGCCUGACUUCAUAACCCUCUUCUAAUGAGAGGAACUUUGGAGGUUCUCAUGGAACGCCUCUGUCUUUAGCUCAACCCCCUCAGAGGCCAGGAAGCACAGAGGGUAUAAAAGAUGUGAGAGCAGCUCCACUCAGGCUUCAGACCUGCAUCACCUGCGCCAAUCUCACACUGCAUUUCAGUCCUAUUGCAAUGCUGUCCCGGACGCUGGUUGCUCCGUUGAUCUUUGCAUUAGUGGGUGUCUCUAUUUCUGCACCAAUAAACGAUGGAAAAGAUAAUGAUGAGGCAGCUGCAGCCCUAGGGAUACUCAAUGAUCCAACUUCUCUCCCUGGAAAUGGAAUCUCAGGUUGGUCUGGGUGAUAUAGAUCACAUCUCACUGUAAAAUGUGUUAUAUAAACUGUUUUUAAAGUUUAAUUUAAAAUUAAAAUUGCUAAAAUAAAACAUAUAAAUAUAUAUUAAAAAAAUGACA
ensembl:lncRNA